rnacentral:tRNA from 2 species
CGGAUGUACCCAAGGGGACCAGGGCA